rnacentral:rRNA from 1 species
UGGGGAAUAUUGGGCAAUGGGCGAAAGCCUGACCCAGGACGCCGCGUGGGGGAAGAAGGCCUUCGGGUUGUAAACCCCUUUUGCAGGGGACGACACAGGACGGUACCCUGCGAAUAAGCCACGGCUAACUCUGUGCCAGCAGCCGCGGUAAGACAGAGGUGGCAAGCGUUGCUCGGAUUCACUGGGCUUAAAGGGCGCGUAGGUGGUUUUGUAAGUCUAAGGUGGAAUUCCACAGCUUAACUGUGGGACUGCCUUUGAUACUGCAAGGCUUGAGUCAGGCAGAGGAGGGCGGAAUUCCCGGUGUAGCGGUGAAAUGCGUAGAUAUCGGGGAGGAAGGCCUGGUGGCGAAGGCGGCCCUCUGGGCCUGCACUGACACUGAGGCGCGAAAGCGUGGGGAGCAAACA